GAAAGAAAGAUGCCUGCCGCAGCUGAUUAGGCAGAAAUAGGGACAUCUUUUUGAGAAGGGACAGAUCUUCAACAGGUGGAGGAGUCUGAAAACUGUCUUGCUGACCCAGAUUUGCAGAAAUUGGUUUUAACUAAACAACUUGAUACAUUUACCUCACAAAAAUAGGCUCUCUAUGAAGUUUCUGGUAGCACUGCAUGUGCUACGGUUCCCUGGGUCCUGCAGGCAAGCGGCAUCAUCCUGCAAGGUGAUUAUGGAAAAAGAGAAUGAAGGAAGUAAGAACUGAAAUGAAGAAAGGAAAUGUUAAUUACAGCUUACGAUUCUGGAGGAAAAACACCUGAUCCUCUAGUAAUAAAAUGCAAGCAUCCCAUCAAGCUUCUAGGUCCCAAAGUGGAAAAGGUUUCAUCUCCACUAGGAAAAUGAUCUGUUACUGAUGGGUCAUUUUCCUCACAUAAAUGGAUCCACAGUGCAACUACAUUCAGGGAGAAUCAUCACUUCAACGGGAAUUGGAAUGAGGCCUAACAUGUAGCCUAAGUGGUACACAGGCCUUUUGUCACUCUUCUGCACCAAUCAGUGGAAUUUACCCAAGAAGUCACAUUGAUGGGGACUACUCAACAUGAGUUGCUGAAUUUGGC